UGGGGAAUAUUGCACAAUGGAGGGAACUCUGAUGCAGCAACGCCGCGUGCGGGAUGACGGCCUUCGGGUUGUAAACCGCUUUCAGCCAUGACGAAGCUUUUGUGACGGUAGUGGUAGAAGAAGCACCGGCUAACUACGUGCCAGCAGCCGCGGUGAUACGUAGGGUGCGAGCGUUGUCCGGAAUUAUUGGGCGUAAAGAGCUUGUAGGCGGUUUGUCGCGUCGAUAGUGUAAACACGCAGCUUAACUGUGUGCCUGCUGUCGAUACUGGAUGGCUAGAGGAGGGUAGGGGAGAAUGGAAUUCCCGGUGGAGCGGUGGAAUGCGCAGAUAUCGGGAGGAACACCAGUGGCGAAGGCGGUUCUCUGGACCUUUCCUGACGCUGAGAAGCGAAAGCGUGGGUAGCAAACAGG
rnacentral:rRNA from 1 species